AAAAACAGAUAAGAGAAAAGAAAAUCAGAAUCCGAUUGGAAAGCGCAGUUUUGUUGGCGAAUAUUUUGUAUGACUUGGGAGAGUGGGAAAUGCUUGGGAAGCUUCAUACCAAUCUUUUGGGUUUCACCAACACACUUCUUCCUACUCCACUCGAAAACUCUGUAUCCAUUCCCAAUAAAACCAGUCACGCGCUGCCUAACGAAACUCGAACAGAGAAACUGAAUUCGGAGAAAAAUGCUCAUUCUGGGCUUCUAAAAAAGAGUGUCAAUAACAGGCUCAUUUUGCAGCGAAACAAGGUGCACUCCACGUGUUCGAAGAAAUGCGUAUCUUACGGUGGAUGCAUUCCUUCAAUUCUGCAUGCCUUGAACACGAUUCAGGAUUUGGAUGAGGCUCUCACACCGUGGGAGGAGCGUCUUACGAACAAGGAAAUCAGCAUUGUUCUGAAGGCACAGGUUUCGUGGCGGAGAGCUUUGCAAAUUUUCGAGCGGUUCAAGAAUAAGGGUUGUUAUGACUUGAACGUGAUUCAUUACAACAUAAUGCUUUGGAUCCUUGGCAAAGAGCGUAAGUGGGGCCUCGUGGAGAGUUUGUGGAGUGAAAUGAAUGCAAAAGGGAUUGCACCUGUGAAUUCCACGUAUGGAACCUUGAUUCAUGUUUAUGGCAAAGGUGGACUUAAGGAAAAAGCACUUGCUUGGCUUCAAAGGAUGCAAAGUCAAGGAAUGGAACCUGACGAGGUCACCAUGGGAAUUGUUGUUCAAUUGCACAAGAGGGCCCGCGAGUUCCGAAAAGCUGAAGAAUUCUUUAGGAAAUGGUCAAGAGGUGGUGAAGUUUCAAGAUUAGGGAUUAAUAUUCAUAAUGCAGUGGACAAUGUUUGUUUAAGCUCUCGUACUUAUAAUACCUUGAUUGACACGUAUGGGAAGGCUGGUCAACUUCGAGCAGUAUCUGAGACUUUUGCUAGGAUGAUCAAACAGGGUGUAGCCCUCACUACAGUGACGCUCAAUACAAUGAUUCACUUGUAUGGAUUUCACGGACGACUGCGGGGAGUGAGUUUGCUGUUUGAGAAAAUGGAAGAGUUUCAGUGCCUGCCCGACAUACGGACGUAUAACAUCCUCAUUGCUCUUUACAUUAAACAUAAUAAUAUCAACUUAGCAGCUAAAUAUCUUGCAAAGAUGAAAGAGGCCUGCCUUGAGCCAGACAUUGUGAGUUACCGUACCCUCUUGAAUGCAUACUCGACGAGGAAAAUGGUCCAAGAAGCAGAAGAGCUCAUACAAGAGAUGGACAAAAAGGGUCUUGUGAUUGAUGAGUUCAUCCAAUCUGCUUUGACUAGAAUGUAUGUAGAAUCAGGCAUGCUUGAGCAAUCAUGGUUGUGGUUUAGGCGGUUUCACCAAGUUGGGAAUAUUACUUCUGACUGUUAUUCUGCCAUCAUUGAUGCAUAUGGUGAACGAGGAUACACUUCAGAAGCAGAGAAAGUCUUUCUUUGCUGCAAAGAAAAGAAGAAGCUCACUGUUCUUGUGUUUAAUGUGAUGAUUAAAGCUUAUGGGAUCGGAAAGUGCUAUGAUAAAGCAUGUGAAUUGUUUGAUUGUAUGGAGAAAUUCAGUGUGGUUGCAGACAAAUGUAGCUACAGUUCUCUCAUACAUAUUUUGGCCGGUGCUGACAUGCCGUACAUUGCAAAACCUUAUCUUAUAAAAAUGCAGGAGGCAGGACUUGUGAGUGAUUGCGUCCCAUAUUGUACUGUUAUAUCAAGCUUUGCAAAGUUAGGCCAUUUGGAAAUGGCAGAAGAAUUAUACAAGGAGAUGAUCGGAUAUGCUGUGCAGCCUGAUGUCAUUAUUUACAGUGUUUUGAUCAAUGCUUUUUCUGAUGUUGGAAGUGUUAAAGAAGCCAUUAAUUAUGUUGAUGAAAUGAGAAAGGAAGGCUUUCCAGGGAAUUCAUCUAUUUAUAACACUUUGAUAAAGUUGUAUACUAAAGUAAGCUACCUGAAAGAAGCACAAGAAACAUACAAGUUGCUUCAAUCAUCAGAUGAAGGUCCUUCUGUAUUUUCUUCUAAUUGUAUGAUUGAUCUUUAUACUGAGCGACUUAUGGUUGACCAAGCAAAAGAGAUAUUUGAGAGCUUGAAGAAGAAAGAAGUUGCAAAUGAGUUUUCACAUGCAAUGAUGUUAUGCAUGUAUAAGAAAAUUGGAAGAUUGGAUGAGGCCAUUCAAAUUGCAACACAGAUGAGAAAACUAGGACUCUUGACUGAUUUAUUGAGUUAUAAUAAUAUUCUUGGCUUGUAUUCUAUGGAUAGGAGGGUAAGGGAAGCUACAGAGACUUUCAAGGAGAUGAUAAAAUCUGGCAUUCAACCAGAUGAUUUUACAUUCAGAGCUCUUGCACACAUUUUGCUGAAUUGUGGAGUUUCAAAGCAGGCUGUUGGUAGGCUAGAAGUAAUGGUGAAGAGGGAUUUUCCUCGUGGUUUGCAAGCAUGGAUGCUAGCACUCUUAUGUGUUUUUGAAGGAGAUCAUUAUGAAAAAAGGUAGAUGUGGUUAAUUAUGGAUGGAGCCUACAUCAGGUAGAAAAACAUGAUUGGAGUUUACUUAGUCUGGCUUUCCUCUGGAGCUAGUUGUUUGCCUUUUUACUGGCUACAUGGCUGAGGGAAUGGUUGGAGCAUUUCAAUCAUGGUAUCUAGAAUGACUGUUGGUAAUUUCUAUGAUAAUCUGUUAUGGUAUGGCUUGUUCGUUUGAAUAGUUGUCCAUAAAAUGAAGCAAAACAUUUGGGAUAUCAGAAAUUGAUGGUAAGAUAAGUUGAUAUUAAUUUUAUAUUCACCAGUACUGAACAUUGCUCUUCAAUUCUUAAAGAUCGUUUUCUCCACCAGGAUGUUUCCAAUAUUUGAAAGAGCCAUGGUUUUACCUAAUCAUGACACUACAACCCUGGGAUGGGAACAAGUUUUAACUCGUUCUGAGUACUCUUGAAGGUCAGUCAAAUUGGAUUGUUGAAAUCUCUUUGGAACUACAUGAGCUGCUUUCUCUCACCCCCCCCCCCCCCCGGGUCUUCCUCUUUUUGAGGACAGAAGUAAUUUUGUAUAUACAAGGAAUAAAACUUUUUGUAAAAAUUAUUUAUGGAGCCAAUGAUCCUGCAUGCUGCCGUCUUUGGUAUCUGGAGAAGAUGUGGUUUGAAGUAGAGGAUUUUAAUCUUGUAGCCCUCAAUGGCCAGGUAUAUUUAUCUUUAUUACUUGAGAGCCAGAAUGAUUGUCAAAAUGCUUGCUUUUAGUUAUAGCUUGAACCAUCUUUAUUUUUUAGCUCCAUUCUAGUGUCAUUUGCAACUAAAUAAAUCCCUAUCCUGGAAAUUGUGUUAUUUCAUGUGCAUAAAAGUCUUUAUUCAACAAGUUUGUUUGGCAAUUGUCGACGUGUCAUACUUAAAUAUUCAUGCAAUUCAAACAGUCACUAACAGUUUGAAUGUGAAGGCAUUUUCUUUGUAUUUCAGCCCAUUUUAUUAGGACUCAAACGGCAAUGUAUUCUGUUUAGUUCCUGAAUCUUAUACAAAGGCCAAGGCUUAGUUCUACAUUUUUAUUCCAAUAAAAAGUUGCAUGGAGAAAAAAUUAUUGUUUAGCAACAGAUCUAAUGGAAAGUUGUACGAAGCUACUCGAGAAGUAUGUUUGCAUCCGCUUUUGAUUUCGCCAAUUAUAAAAUCUCAGUGGCUUGCUUCAGGUGAUGAUGAUGCAAAUUCACGUUUGAUGGGGAACCUGUAAAAUUUCACGAGUCUUACCGAAUUCAUAUUGUAGAAGACCUUGCUUUUCGGCAAACACAAAAUAUUGUAUUUGAAAUUAUGUUCCAGCUCGUAUGUUACUACAUGUCCGAUAAGGCCUUAAUAAUAUUGAAAACGGUGAA